UACAGAGGUCUCAAGCGUUGUUCGGAUUCAUUGGGCGUAAAGGGUGUGUAGGUGGCGCCGUAAGUCGGGUGUGAAAUUUCGGAGCUUAACUCCGAAACUGCAUUCGAUACUGCGGUGCUUGAGGACUGGAGAGGAGACUGGAAUUCAUGGUGUGGCAGUGAAAUGCGUAGAGAUCAUGAGGAAGACCAGUGGCGAAGGCGGGUCUCUGGACAGUUCCUGACACUGAGACACGAAGGCCAGGGGAGCAAACGGG
rnacentral:rRNA from 1 species